GUAAUCUUCCUCCUUUCAACAAAAGCAGACUGGGUGGGGCUAAUGAUCUUGGGAAACAAGCCUUUGAUCCUAUUAGCAAUCUACUUGGUAAAUACACUUAUAGAUUGUAUUGAAGCAGGAAAUAGGCUGAAAAUCUCCCAUGACUGUAGGAUUAGGCACUUUCGGCACCAAAACAAUGAUAGUGGAGUCUCUUAGACGUGAAGCAAAGAAAGACUUUUUAGUUUUUAUGGCUUCUAUUACAUCCUGAUUCACAAUCUCCCAAGCACUUUUGAAGAAGUGGGCAGAAUACCCAUCGGGGCCCGGGGCCUUGUUACUGUUAAGGGAGAACAUAUUUCUUUUAAU
rnacentral:lncRNA from 1 species